UCUACUACUUCUACUUUCCUACAGUUUGAGCAACUUGGGGUCGUAGGGGUAUUUUAGUAAAACUGCAUCUGUUUUGGCCUGAGCCACGGUUUUCUCAGGUUUUGACAGGCCCUCAAGCUGAACGCCCAUGGUCCAUACUAUUCUUCCUCCACGUUGCCCAGCCUUCUACACUGAUCUUUCUCCAAAUUUUCAUAGUCGCUCAAUUUCAGUUCCAGUUUCCUUUGUCUCUUUCAAUCUUCUAUCUUCCUGCUCAGUCUAUGUGCUUGGUUGUACAGUUAUAAGGUAAGUUUUGCUUUCUUCUUUUUCUGAUUUUCAAAAUCGCUGCUGGGGGGACAUUAUUUGAAUCGGGUAAAUUGUUGAUCCAUUGUUUAAGAGUUCUAUUGCUGCCUUUCUUCACACCAUGAAAAGAGUAGAGUUGGUGAAGCAAAUUCAUAAAGAAGGAGCGUGCAGAGACCAAAUUUAUAUCCACAUAAAAAGAGGGUUAUCAUUUAAUUCAUGAAUCAAGGCUCAAGAAGUCUUGAGUUGUUUAAGAGUGAACCAAGCACACAUAAGAUUUCAUGAUUUUAUUUAUAAAACUAGUAAAUUUGUCCGCUCUUAUAAUAAUCGGAGUUAAAUUACCAAAUUUUAUGAAUUUAUUGAAAUAAUUUUUUAAUUUUUAUGCAGACAAAUUUAAUUCUAUGAAUUAAGGUAAUAACAAAAAAAUAAUAUUUUACUUCAUCGAGGUGAUCAAUUUGCCUGAGGAUAUUACUUACCUCAAUUAAAGUGCAAAUUUCGUGCGUUGGCUUGACAAUAUUGCUGAAGUGGUUUACCUCUUUAAUCGAUUGUGAAGGUAUCACUUAUACACAUCUUUAAUAGGUCCUACCAUACAAAUGUAUACUUCUAAAAUUUUAAUCAACUUGAUGAUUUGGUUAUUUAAGAAUUUCAAGCAACUGUAGAUGAACUAAGACACUGGGGAAGAGAAGAUGUUGCACCACUCGGUACAGAGAGAGAGAGAGAAAUGUAUGAUGUAAGCCAUUUAGCCUUCCCUUCCUAAUUAAAGGUCGUAUAAAUAUGAUAAGAAUCCAAAUAUACUUGGAAUUCAGGGAUGAUCUACCUACUAAAUUGAAGAUUUAGUGAUUUAUGAAUCUAGUUUCUAACACAUUAAAUCGUUCAUCAAUAUGAUAUUGGAGUAGUAACUGAACGAGAGGUUUUGGACUUCUAGGUACGUACCUCGUCUCUCCUUUCAUUUCAUGUUUAAAUGUUGUUAAAAGUAAUAGUUUUUAUUAUUAUAUGCAAUCGUAUUUAGCUAUUUUAAAAUACAGAAGAAAAUAAGUUAAUAUUCUAUUAUGGAUAUAUGAAAAUGCAAUAAAAAAGAGAGACAGACAUAGUAGUAGGUUUUUACAUUCUUACUUUGUUUAAAAAUAAAGCUGGGUGCCACCAUAUUCCCAAUAGAAUAAAUUGAAGUAGUUCUCUGUUGUCGAAAUGAAAAAGAGAAAAUUUUCAUAUGAAAAAGAAAAGUAAAAGGUAAAUCGACUUAAGUUUAGAAGAUAAUAUUAACAAUAUCAUAUCCCAGUAAUUAUAACCAUAAUUAAGUUGCAAAAUAUGAGGUUGAUCCCCAAAAAAAAGAGAAAAAACAAUUUGUGGAACACAAAAUACACCACUCUUGACCCUAUUACAAUUAAUCUUACAACCACCGAGCUAUUAUAAAUUAUCCGUGAACCAUUCUAUUUCCAAAUACCAUGGUGUUUUCUUGAUGAAUAUUUGAAUAGAGGAUUGUAUUGCCCAAUCUUUAAACGGAAAAAAAAUGUGACAACAAAAUGCACACCGACAAAAUGCAUGGAUAUUGAGAUUAUUUAACGUCAUAAGUUAUAAGUGCAUGAAUUAAAUUUGUCAAUUCUAUUGCAACUUACUCUAGAAUUUCAUCCUUAUGGUUGGUUUUGUUCCAAAAAUAAUGUCCUAACGCCGAUGUCUUGCAUCUAAAAAAGUGGAAGAUUAUCAUUAUCUCUAAUGGAGCGAACAGAAAGAUAAUAAAAGGUGUCCAGUAACGGUAAAACAAUCAUCUAUUCAGUAUUUUUUCUUGUGGGUUACUGUUCCAUACAUCGCACUUGCACAAAACCCCGGACAUUUCAAAUGACAUUUAUGAGUUACUGGAAGAAAACGACGAUAAUACAAAUCUAUUGAUUUCUUGCAGCUAUGAAAAACAGAAAAUAACGUAGCAUCAAUAUUUCUAAAGGAGCAAAACACGUAUAUCUAAUAAUAAUAAUAAUAAUGGAGCUGAAAAUAGAAAGCUAUGAAAUUCACUAACAUUGUACAAAACCAAGCUAAAUAUGAGUCUCUAUAUAUAGUGGUGUACUAUUGUUUUAUGUUUAAUGAGGAAGAAUCAGCCGUUCAAUUCCUUUAUUAAGUGAUGGAGCGUUUCGGUUUUCAAAUUGAUUAUAGAAUUGGUUUAGUCAUUCGUUUUAGUUUCUAUAGUCAUAAUUUAAACCUUCCAUAAAUGACAAUAUUAAGGAUGCCAUAAAUAUGAUAUGUUUAAUAUUCUACAGAUUUUUUAGUCACCAAAUAAUGGAUAAAAGCCAAAAAAAAAUGAGAAAAAAGAUAGAGGACUUUCUUGAGCUAUAAGAGGUGCCACAUCACCUUUUUAAUUCCUAGCUUUAUAUAUAUAUAUAUAAAGAUACAUGCAUAUAUAUCUACAAAAGAAAACUCAGAAUGCAACAUUAGGGUAGACGUGAUAUUUAUAGGAUGAAAUUCAGUGAUUAGAGAACUGGCAGAUGGUAAGCAACACAAUCUAUGCCUAUUUUAGUCUAAUUUGAUCAAUGUCAUCCCACAAUGUUCAGUUGUUCACUCCAGUUAACUUUCCUGACCAAAAGUCCUUUAAACAAAUGGAAGUGUUAACACUAAUUUUCUCUUGAGAAAAAGACGCAUAAAAAUGAGGUCAUAAAGGAGAAGGGGUUGAUUGGGAAAAUUAGUGUUUGUUUUUAGAAGUGUUUGAAUAUUUUUAUUUUUGAACUUCUUUAAUUUACUGAAACUUUUAUAAGUUUGUAGAAUAUUGAUAUAGAACGGGAUAAGUUUUACUCAUCUGGCGUGAUCAUAAAGAGAUACAAGUAUGCCAAAAAACCUCUCGCCUUUUGUUUUCUUGACUUGUAGUUUGCAGAUUGAACAUUUUAUUCAAGUGGUGAAAAUAGCGGUGAUGGUAUGUACUGUAGUAAACAUUAAAAGGUUCAUUUUUUGGGUAGAAAAAGGGUUGUUUUAUGAAGCAUUUACAGGUGAAUUAGUAAUAGGAAAUUUGAAUGCCAUAUGUUUUUUUUGGUCUGAGUUAGUUAUCACAGAACAAUAUUGCUAUAGGGUAGAGAUAAUAAAAAGGGCAUCAAUCACACAUGCCGUAUAGAAAACUUAGAUGAUCAAGAAGACCGACUGAUAAUUUCAAGAUUUAACCAUGUACUCCUCUUCCUUUGAGCCAAGGUUGCUGGUAUAUCACUUUUCAAAAUGUCGUUGACCCUGUUUCCAAGUCAGUGGCUGCUACUGGAAAGUGUAAGUUGCAUGACAUUCAUAUGUGAACUUAUGUUGGCAUAUUUUCAAGCUGUCUUUUUCUAAAGUUGAUGAAAAAAGUGUGAAAAACUUGUUCAGAAACGGACAAAUUCCAUAUCGAGUCAACAAAAGGAUAGCUCAAGCUUAAAGUUUUAUUUAUUCAGACGUGCCUUACAAAUAUUGAGCUCUAAACUCCAUCAAUUCAGCAAUCUGCCUCAAAUCUAAAGCAUGUUCUUUUGUGACUUGCAGUUAAAUAGCAAACCACAUGAAGCAAUUAGAGUAUCCGCACUUACAGUUCUAAAGUGCACUGUUGGUGGAUGUACACUUUGAUGUAAAGCAAGUAACUUUUGCGUUGAUAUUACCUAUUACUCACAGCUAUUAGCUCUUAUGGUUCCUCAACUCCAUAUGAAAUCUUUCGCAGAUGUGCUCAUUCUAUAUAAACUUUUAGUUAAUGAUUCUGCUACUGAUAUACACCACUCUAUACAAGUUGCUUUCUUUUCUAGGUAGAAAUUGAUAUCAUUGAAGAUGCAACUUUUCUAAAUGUUGUUGUGAAGGUAAAUAUGUGGUUAAGAUGGCAAUAUUAUUAUUAUGCUCAUUUUGUUUGGAGGCCUCAUCUUUGAAGCUCGAGAUUCCUUUUUAAUUUGCUAAUUGGUUGACUGAAUUUGUAUUUCUACCUUCUCUUUGUAUGAUUAUUACUUGUGGAGGGUUGAACCUUUAGCUCAUACCAGGUAUAACCUUUACAUCCUACCAACUUCUGUACCGAUCCUCGCUAAUAAACCUGUGGCACAUUAUUGAUCUCAGCUCAUCCUUGCUUAAUGAUCUCUUCACUGUUGUGUUUAUAGUUGAGACAAAAUUUCAGAUUAUCUCAUGUCUUAAGCCUUAUAUUGUUAUAUACAAAUAGAAAACCCCAUAAUCUGGUCUUAAAUAUUGUGUGCUAGCCUCAAGAAGAACUGUUGGUGCAUUUUUUGUAUGCUUCGUUCGCUCUUCCAUUUGGCUUAAGUUGAUCUUCAAUAUUUUAGUAUUAGGGUCUAAAAAAACUCUAAUAUUAAGAUGAAUGACAUAGACCUCCAUAAACAAUAAAUUGCAGUCAAUUUUUUUUAGCAUCAGUAGGUAUAUCAACAGUAUGAACAGUCGUUUCACAUAUAUCUGCAUGUGGUUGGAUUUUGAAUCAUUUCAUGGAAUGCAUGAUAAAUUUAAAAUGUACUGGACCAAAUUUCCUUUUCCAUUAUGCUUAUCUGUAGGGUUAUUGUACACACGCUGUUCCAGAUUAUUCCCUCCCUUGGUAGAAACAAAGCCAAUUUGCAAGUACAGGAACCAGUUUUUGCUCAAAUUUAUUAUUUCCUUUAAAGUUGUGAGGAAAAAGGAAAAUCUCCUGCAAAAAGUUAUUCUCGAUUGGGCUUAAUAGCGUAUGAUUCCCAUUACGGGGCAUUGAAUGAAGUUGGUUCCAUAAUGUGCAAUUAUUUAUGAGGAAUUUUUGUCUGUACGAUAAUUCAAUGUUAUGUGUAUGUGUGUUGCAUCUUUUAGGACAGGGGGGUGAGAGUGUCUACAAGUUUGACUGUUGUUUAAUCUGUUCAGUGCUUUCAUGAUUGGUGAUGGGAAACUCUUGACGCACAUUGUGUUGAACAUAAUACCCAGGCAUCCGUAAUGAUGACGGAAGCAGACCCUGCGAGCCGACUGUUUCUUGACUUACAAGGCUGGGAAGACCACAUAGAAAGAUAAGUUGAAAAACCUGGAUGAGGAAAGCUCAUCUAACAAGGGUGAAGAAGCAUCUGAGAGGCCAAAUAUGAGUUCGCUUUCAGAAGAUACAUAAUGUUGUUGAACACACACGAGGAGAUUUACCAUAGUUCAUAUCUCUCUCAACUGCAAAAUAUUAGUAUUCUAAGACUAUUGCAGGUGAUUAAUUUAUGCAAACAAAUGAGUAUGAAUGGCAAAGAAGUUUUGUCAAUUGCUUAUCCGUCGAUGAUAGGAACUCAACCAAAGGCAUCCCAAGAUAAGGUUGCUAAAGAGAUCAGUUCUGUGUGGAGGAGGCGUUAGGGAAAUAGAGAAUCAUGUUAAAUAUUUUUAUAUUCAACAUCUCCCACUGUAGUUGAGUCAUUUAUAAUCUGAUACGUAUCAAUUGUGUUGUCUAAAAAUAUUGUAGACAUUUAUGCCCCUAUUCUGGAUGUUAUAACACAUAGAGACAGGAUUGCUCACCAAUUA